GCAUUUAGUAGACUUUGGAUUUUUUUUUUUUUACAAUUUUUCUUUUAAAUAAUUGUUUCACUAGUGUUAUACUAAACCUGUUCAACAUAAAGAAAAGCACUUCAAUUAAGUGUGUCUACAGUCUUUUGAUAUUUUGUUGAUUUUAUCUGCAUCUGUACAACCUCUGGGUUUGUAGUCACAGAUUGAAAUGAAUGACAAUGAGUUAAAUCUCACUGAUCCUUUAUCAACUGAACCUUUCUUCUGGGACCUUUUAUGAUGCUCUCACUUGCACAGAAAACUCACCACUCUUCUCUUUUCACAGGGUUAGAAAGCAUCAGAAACAUGAGCCUGAACUAGAAGGAUGAUAGAAUCCCCGCCCACAAAAUCCUCAGGACACCAAGGAUCCACUUUGAACGUCCCACUGCCAAAGACCACAGGAAAGUUUUGGAGCCCAUUUUCUGAAAGGCAUGUUCCUCUCUGGAGUCCAGGGUGGAGGGAAAACAGUGAGUGAAGAGGAGAGGGAUGAAGAAAGUAAACAGAAGGCCUCACCUCAGCCGGGGCCAAGGCAAAUGUUUGAACCACCUGUUGCAAGAAACCUGAAGCCCUCAGGAGAUGUUCAGAUGGAGCUGGAGUUGAGGCAAUGAUCCAGGUAUGGGUCACUUCUGAAUUUUAUUGGGAGGGAGGAGUGGGAGGCAGUGUCUGUACAGGGCUACUUACUCAUUACAACAGGUAAAGCAAUAAAAGUUACCAAAAAACUGACAUAUUAAUAUGUGAAACCCAGUGUAAAACAUCUG